GAAGGAACAGCAUUAUUAAAGGGGGCCUUUGAUCAUUGCUGGAUGUGGGAAGAUGUCAGAUGGAUGUGUCACCAUUUAAAAGACCAGGCUUCAGUUAUGAUGCGUCGACACUGAAACAAUGAGGAAGAACAAGGAGUGCAACAGGACAAGCCCACGCUCUCAGACUCUACCCAAACCAACAAAACAUCCAAAAAUUGAUGACUACAUGAUGGGCAAAAAAACUGUGAAGAAAAAUAAUAAUAAAGCAAAUCCUCUAUAUUCCAUCCCUACCUCCAAUAGCUAUGAUUUACUGAAGUGGGAUUUGGAAAAAGAAAUUGGAAAACAACAAUUAUUAGAGCUGUCCUCUACUUUGCAUGUGGAAUCAAACCAUCUGAUUGAACCCCUGCCUUUACUAUCCUCCCCCGUUCUUAAAACAUCUCUGACGGGGAAGAGCAAGUCAAGCAAUCACCAAAGGAAUUCACAACAGGUUUUGCUGCCAGACUAUGCUUAUUAACUGCACAAACUGUGAUUUCAAUGUUUAAACAUUUAACCUCUAUAAACACAAAGGUGGACUGUUUAAAAACAGCCUUUUAAACUUUUGUGCAAAGUUAUGCAGAUAAGCUAGCAGCUUUAACAGUAACUCAAAACAUUGGCAUCAAUUCUGAUCUAUUUAUGGACAUCCAAAGGAAACAAAAUUGCUCAGAAGAAGAAAUUAAGAGUAGAAAGGACAACCAAAUACAGGCAGAGCUUACAGCCUCAUUUCCGACCAAAGAGAUAAACCCAACAAGCACAACUGCACACUUCAAACAAAUUCAGUUGCUCUAAGAAUUACACUCAGCAGAUUUAACAUUGGACACUGGCCUACCAGAAGAGCUAUCAUUCUAUCACUUAGCUCCCUUCUUCACUGCCAACGUCAUAUGAUUGGUCUAAGUGCUGUUGAAUGGCUUUCUAACGUAACAGGACAUAAACGAAUUCUAUUGACUUUUAACCAUCCAACCAUCCCCUGCAGGCUGUUCAGAAUGAAAUCUUUUCUUUCCACUUUUCAGAUAUACCCACUGCACAUUUUCCUAGACAAAAAAAGGACUGCACUCUUUGGUUUAACAUCUCAAGCAGAUACUCCCCUGCCUCAUGCCAUGGGCAGCGUGCCAGAUGAUUAAAACCACAGCAACUUAGCACCUGUAGCAUCCUUGACAAGACACUGCUCAAAUAACCAUACUGAGAUGAUGCAAGAAAAAAUGGUCACUGAUCAAGUUCUAGAAACAGGAUUAAUGAACUCUUUUGAAGCCUUACCAAACUGCGAACAAGAAGCAAUACUGAGAUGAUUGUAUUAAUUGAAACAAACACUGCUGCUAAGCCAAGCAGCAGCCAAACCUUUAAUUGACUAUCUUUGGACCUCUCAUCUGACAGCAACUCCACAGAAAAUUAUUAUAAGCUCCCUGAAUCCUGUAAUCAAACAACUCCGUCAAAGAAGGAAAAUAAUCCCAGCAAACCUACAUGCCCUUCUAUUCUAAAACAGCCCAAAUUGAUUCCAUCUUGUUCCGUUUCAGAUAAUGACAAUUUGUUUCAUUCUGUACUAUCUGAGGGCUUAGAUCAGAAAAAAGGACAAAAGGAAAUUGCUGUAUCAACAGUAUAUCCUAACCAAGAUCUCCAGCUCGCAAAUCCAGCCAUGCCUAGAGACAGAAAACUAAUCGAUAGUCCAAAGUUGCUGCCUGCUAAUGAUUCCCAUUCUUGCACCCAGACAAGAACAUAACAGUUUGACUGCCACCAGUUGACUCACUCCUAAGGCUCCAGGUUACAUAAAAGCCAUUUCUUGGAAUAUUGCUGGGUGGAACAAUAAAUUGGUGGAUACCUGUUUUGAACAGUACAGUUCCUGUCAGAAUUUAACAUAAUUUUAUUGCAGGAGACAUGGUGCCUGGAUAUUUCUCCUUUCUUGCCAGGAUUUUGCUCAUAUAACAUCCCUGCCACUAAACUGGGUUUGUAUGGAAGAGCCAAGUGGAUAGAAGCCAGAUCCGUGGCUCAAGGUCUGGUACUCCCUGCAAACCCUUUUGGAGAGAACUGAACAAACAUUACAAAAUGCAAAUAUCCUACUGGCUGGUGAUUUUAACACCAGAAUUGGCAAAGGUUAGCUCCUUUGAUGUCCACAAUAGAACAGAGAGUGAUCAUCUACCCUUGGUUUUGACUCUUUUGGUUUAUAAGUCCCCCUCCCUCCAUGAGGCACCAUAACCUUGAUGGCAUCACCCAGGUUAAAUAUUGUCGCAGAUGGAGCCCUAAUCUCAGCGAAAAAGUCACUGCUUUUAAAAUACCCCACCGAUGCUGAAUCAAAGGUAUCUGGCACUGCAAUCCAAC